GAGAUGCUGCUUCCUAUCUAUGAAACCUUCCCAAUAUGGCAGACUCUGCUGGAUCCCUCGCUAUGAAGAAAGGAUGCCACCUUGUGGAAAGACACAAUAACACAACAAGAAAACAACGGGAAAAAGUUGGCCUGAGCAACCUCCUAUACAAGUGACCUUCAAGGAAAGAAUGUAAAAUACACAAGAAAUUCUGGUUAUUUGAGAAAUAGUGAAGUGAUGACAGAUGGAUAAUGAAUAAAUGGCCAUGCCUAUUGGCACCAACUUAUCCGCUCCCUGUGGGAAUUCCAGGAUCCCAGGAGACAUCUGGAAUAAUCUCCAGAAUCAGGAAUUAGAAGAAAGAUUAAAUCACGCACAAGGAGUUCCUGUUGUGGCUCAGCAGAAACAAAUCCGACUAGGUUUUAAAUCCCCACAUCACUAAGUCUGUUGAUGUGGACUGCCCUGGGAUGGUAAUGUCUCCAGGUGGCUUUCUUCAUUUAAGGCAGUUAAGGCAGUUCAUGCAGGGGUCUUCAGUGGAGGGCUAUCUGCUGGCUGCACUCCCAAUGGCUGGAGUUAUAGGUCCUUCAUUCUUGAUGGGGGGGCCUGAGAGACACAUCAGAGAGAGGACAGGGUCCAUCGCAGAGAUUUUCCAGAGGAAAUGAGGCCUGCUGGAGAAAUAAUAAUAGGAAAUUCAUUCACCAGGUAUUUUUGAAGCUCCUGUGAUAUGAUGGGCACUGUUUUAAGUUCUGGGAAAUACAGCAGAUAAUGAAGAAAGGUUUUUUUCAUCGAAAGUUUAUGCAAUGGCAUGCCAUGCAUUAAGCUCUCCACAUGAAUUAUCUGAUUCUUUCUUUCUAGUUAACCUCUAAACUAGCCCUAUUAUUAUCUCUAUUCUACAGAUGAGAAAAUCAAGGUUCAGAGAUGUUGCAUCCUGCCCAGAAUCCCACAGCUUGGAAGUAGCCUUUGAACCUAAAAGUUUUCAUACAGUAGGGCCUUGGGUGCCCUUGACUGCAUUAAUACUGCCUCAUUACUGUGUGCAUGUUAGACUAUCAGUAUUAUUGAUUCCUAGAAGGACACUCCUUAGGUCAAAGUGCAUAUGCAUUUUAAAAUGUUGGUAGACACUACCAAACAUAUCUUUAGACAGUACCAAUUUAUAUCUUCACUAAGGGUCUAUGAUAUGCCCAUUUUUCACCCCCUUGCCAA